GGGAUGCUGCCCUCGGCUUCCCCAAGUCCUUCUACAACUUUAAGCUUCAUAUUUAAAAUAGGAUGUAACUAAGAGGUCAUCCAUCUACUAGCGUGAUAGAUGGUGAUCUUAAGAAGAAGUAUGAUCCGUACAGGGUUACCUUCUCAUUCAUUCCCGUUGAAGGUAAAGAAAGCGAGCAAGGCCAAGUUUGAGCCACUGACUCUGGCAACCCCUCUGCCGGAGAAA
rnacentral:misc_RNA from 1 species